AUUGAACGCUGGCGGCAUGCUUUACACAUGCAAGUCGAACGGUAACAGGCCUUCGGGUGCUGACGAGUGGCGAACGGGUGAGUAAUGCAUCGGAACGUGCCCGGAGGUGGGGGAUAACGCAGCGAAAGCUGUGCUAAUACCGCAUGUGAUCUGAGGAUGAAAGCGGGGGACCAGGCAGCAAUGUUUGGCCUCGCGCCUUUGGAGCGGCCGAUGUCAGAUUAGGUAGUUGGUGGGGUAAAGGCCUACCAAGCCGACGAUCUGUAGCUGGUCUGAGAGGACGACCAGCCACACUGGGACUGAGACACGGCCCAGACUCCUACGGGAGGCAGCAGUGGGGAAUUUUGGACAAUGGGCGCAAGCCUGAUCCAGCAAUGCCGCGUGCGGGAAGAAGGCCUUCGGGUUGUAAACCGCUUUUGUACGGAACGAAAAGGCUCUGGCUAAUACCUGGGGCUGAUGACGGUACCGUAAGAAUAAGCACCGGCUAACUACGUG
rnacentral:rRNA from 1 species